rnacentral:rRNA from 1 species
GCGGCCUAUCAGCUAGUUGGUGAGGUAACGGCUCACCAAGGCUAUGACGGGUAGCUGGUCUGAGAGGACGACCAGCCACACUGGAACUGAGACACGGUCCAGACACCUACGGGUGGCAGCAGUCGAGAAUUUUUCUCAAUGGGGGAAACCCUGAAGGAGCGACGCCGCGUGGAGGAUGAAGGUCUUCGGAUUGUAAACUCCUGUCAUUAGGGAACAAUGUGCAGUCGUUAACUGCGAUUGCAUUGAUAGUACCUGAAGAGGAAGAGACGGCUAACUCUGUGCCAGCAGCCGCGGUAAUACAGAGGUCUCAAGCGUUGUUCGGAUUCAUUGGGCGUAAAGGGUGCGUAGGUGGCGCCAUAAGUCAGGUGUGAAAUCUCGGGGCUCAACCCCGAAACUGCACUUGAUACUGUGGUGCUCGAGUACUGGAGAGGAGAUUGGAAUUUACGGUGUAGCAGUGAAAUGCGUAGAUAUCGUAAGGAAGACCAGUGGCGAAGGCGAA